rnacentral:rRNA from 1 species
CGAAUUGGGCCCGACGUCGCAUGCUCCCGGCCGCCAUGGCGGCCGCGGGAAUUCGAUUGUCCGUGUUUCAAGACGGGCGGUAUUGGGUCAUUUCGCCAGCAUCCUAGGCAAAAGCCGCAGACCUCAGUCCCGAUAGGCAAUAUCAACAGAAGCUAUAACACUCCGAGGAGCCACAUUCAACUGUCAUUAUCUUGCCACCAAAACUGAUGCUGGCCCAGUAAAAAGCUAGAGCGCCCACACAAGUGCGAACGAUAACUAAAUACCAAGUCUGAUCAAAUACCCUUCCCUUUCAACAAUUUCACGUACUUUUUCACUCUCUUUUCAAAGUUCUUUUCAUCUUUCCUUCACAGUACUUGUUCGCUAUCGGUCUCUCGCCAAUAUUUAGCUUUAGAUGGAAUUUACCACCCACUUUGAGCUGCAUUCCCAAACAACUCGACUCUUCGAAAGCAUCUUACAUAGAAAUGGACACCCCAUCAGACGGGAUUCUCACCCUCUAUGACGUCCCGUUCCAAGGAACAUAGACAAAGGCCAAAUCCAAGAUAGCUUUCUUCAAAUUACAACUCGGGCACCGAAGGUACCAGAUUUCAAAUUUGACCUCUUGCCGCUUCACUCGCCGCUACUAAGGCAAUCCCUGUUGGUUUCUUUGCCUCCGAUUAGAAUAAAAAAUGGUUC